rnacentral:sRNA from 1 species
UAGAAAAAAGCCUUAAGGUUGCUUUCUAAAGAGUGAAUCUGAGGAAGAGUAAUUAGUUGUGUUGGAUGAGUUAAAUUCUUCCAAUGAAGGAUUGUCAAGGAGGUGUCAUCAAACUUCAGCAAAUCCACCAUUCCAGGUAUGUUUCGAAAAGCUAAGAGCUGCAGGGCAUGCGGGAAACCUUUAAGACGGAAUGUGAUCUGCUGGAGUUGCUUCACCAAAUUCUGAAUAGGAUCGUUUGUGAGUUGUCUUUUACCGGUGCUCUUAGCGAGAAUCCGUUUCUCGGGUGUCAUCGCUUCAACCGUCUUCAUAAACGACUCUCUACCCCAAGGAAACGAAAGGAAUUUCUCUAAAUCUGCCAACAUCUCUACAUAUUUAAAUGUAGGCCUACCGGUUUGGUUAGAUGCUAUGAGGACACCAUCUACAAUGAGUAGGAAAGCGAGCUUCAGUUUGUGGUCAGAAGACAGUUUACUGCGCUUCUUGGUUAGCAUGGCAGAUAUAUCCCCUAAUGUAACCGUCUUGUCUGGACCAAUUAACUCAUUCCAGUAGCUCUUCUUGCCAUCAUCAUAAACAGGAGAAUCUUCAGGGUCAUACUCGUCAGGAAACUCCCCACAAGGUAAGCCAGUCACGGAAGCAAAUUCUAGUAGUGAAAAUCUCAUUGGGUGUCCACCAAAAACUGUCCAAAACUCAUACUUUUUCUUAGUAAGCAACUGUCUACAUAACAAGGCAUGAAUGACCUUACCUCAAGUCGCAACCCUACUAACUGGCAAAUGGAAUAAAGGACCAAAGCAAGACUGAAGUAUAAAAUCUAAUUCCUCUGUCCCAUCAAAAACCUUCUUGAUAAAGGAUAGAAUAUCCGGUCUAGAGUAUACGUUCAGCCUUCCCCUCGGAUAAUGAUCGGUGGCGAAGAGUCUAUUUGGAAGGUUUGAAUCCCACUAAGAAGAUCGUUCCUAAGAUGUCGACCCUGUUCAUUGGCAAGAAAUCAGUUCAAGAGAUAACGACUAGAUUAACGAGUAUUUGUACAAACUACUAAAACCACAAACGUCUGUGCUUAGCUACAAACAAUUGGGAAACAUUUUUCGAUUCAAAAAAAAAAUUGCAGAAACAUUCAGCGAGAAGAGGAUUUCUUCUUCUGAGUUAAUUGGACCAAAAUAAGAUGAUUGGAAACGAUUUGUACCUUCCAUUGAGUAUUCCGAUCAGUGAGAAUCAACUGGAAUGCUAAUGAAUUUGGCUUACGAGAACAAUAAAUCGAAAUCGAAUUCGAUUAUUGCAGAGAUUUGGGGGAAAUUACUAUUUGGUUUUUAUUCAGCGAGUGUAGACUCGCCUGAGUGGCGGAUUGAUGGACAGCGACGGAGGAGUCGCCGGAUUCGGAGCAGUUGACGGAUUGGGAGCAGUGGCGAUGUGGAGAUACAGUAAAUUAGGGUUUUUACUGGGUAAGCGGUAUUUUACGAUCGUGUUGGUAAAUGAAGAUUUAACCCAGACAGUAACUGAUAAUACGUGGUUCAACCGGAACCGGAUUAGAGAAAACCGGCUAAAUUUGUUAUGUUUUAUUAAACCAACGAUUUCAGGGUAAAGGGGUAAUUAUACUGAGUUAAAGUGACUAAUGGUUUUAAAGUGUUCUAUUGUGUCCAAAGUUUUGAAAUAGUGCCUCUACGUGUAAUAUUCUCAUUAUUUUGAUAUAUAUAGUUUUCUUUUUUUCGGUCAUGUUCUUUAUUUUAUAUUUUAUUUAUAUCUAGGUAAUACCAGUAAUUCGUUAUUAUUUCAUCGGGUAUCGUUUGCUUUAUUGUAUUUAUGAAGCUUGAUGGGCUAAAUUCAAUUUUUUUAUGUUUUUGUUUUUAUUUAAG